AACGAACGCUGGCGGCAGGCCUAACACAUGCAAGUCGAACGCCUCAGCAAUGGGGAGUGGCAGACGGGUGAGUAACGCGUGGGAACGUGCCCAUCGGUUUGGGAUAACCCAGGGAAACUUGGGCUAAUACCGGAUACGUGCGGAAGCAGAAAGAUUUAUCGCCGAUGGAUCGGCCCGCGUCUGAUUAGCUAGUUGGUGGGGUAAUGGCUCACCAAGGCGACGAUCAGUAGCUGGUCUGAGAGGAUGAUCAGCCACACUGGGACUGAGACACGGCCCAGACUCCUACGGGAGGCAGCAGUGGGGAAUAUUGGACAAUGGGCGCAAGCCUGAUCCAGCCAUGCCGCGUGAGUGAUGAAGGCCCUAGGGUUGUAAAGCUCUUUCGGCGGGGACGAUAAUGACGGUACCCGCAGAAGAAGCCCCGGCUAACUUCGUGCCAGCCGCCGCCGUAACAC
rnacentral:rRNA from 1 species